UACGUAGGGGGCAAGCGUUGUCCGGAAUCAUUGGGCGUAAAGAGCGUGUAGGCGGCCCGAUAAGUCCGCUGUGAAAUCUCGAGGCUCAACUUCGAGCUGUCGGUGGAAACUAUCUGGCUAGAGUCCGGAAGAGGAGAAUGGAACUCCUGGUGUAGCGGUGGAAUGCGCAGAUAUCAGGAAGAACACCGACGGCGAAGGCAGCGUCGCUGGGACGGUACUGACGCUGAGGCGCGAAAGCGUGGGGAGCGAACAGG
rnacentral:rRNA from 1 species